UAAUACGAAGGACCCGAGCGUUAUCCGGAUUUAUUGGGUUUAAAGGGUGCGUAGGCGGACUUUCAAGUCAGUGGUGAAAGCCCAUCGCUCAACGAUGGAAUUGCCAUUGAUACUGUUGGUCUUGAGUACGGUUGAAGUGGGCGGAAUGUGUCAUGUAGCGGUGAAAUGCUUAGAUAUGACACAGAACACCUAUUGCGAAGGCAGCUCGCUAAGCCGUAACUGACGCUGAGGCACGAAAGUGUGGGUAGCAAACAGGAUUAGAUACCCUGGUAGUCCACACCCUAAACGAUGAUAACUCGAUGUUGGCGAUACACAGUCAGCGUCUAAGCGAAAGCAUUAAGUUAUCCACCUGGGAAGUACGACCGCAAGGUUG
rnacentral:rRNA from 1 species